rnacentral:rRNA from 1 species
AAUCCAUAGGUUAAUGAGGCGAACCGGGGGAACUGAAACAUCUAAGUACCCCGAGGAAAAGAAAUCAACCGAGAUUCCCCCAGUAGCGGCGAGCGAACGGGGAGGAGCCCAGAGCCUGAAUCAGCAUGUGUGUUAGUGGAAGCGUCUGGAAAGGCGCGCGAUACAGGGUGAGAGCCCCGUACACAAAAGCGCAUAUGCUGUGAGCUCGAUGAGUAGGGCGGGACACGUGGUAUCCUGUCUGAAUAUGGGGGGACCAUCCUCCAAGGCUAAAUACUCCUGACUGACCGAUAGUGAACCAGUACCGUGAGGGAAAGGCGAAAAGAACCCCGGCGAGGGGAGUGAAACAGAACCUGAAACCGUGUACGUACAAGCAGUGGGAGCCCCACCACUAAGCCAGUGGUGAACUCCACAUACGCAUCCUUUGCGGAAGAUGCGGUUAACGGAGCGAAAGCGACGUUCAACCUCAGAAGAAGCAGAGGGGGCUUAGUGGUGGGGUGACUGCGUACCUUUUGUAUAAUGGGUCAGCGACUUAUAUUCUGUAGCAAGGUUAACCGCAUAGGGGAGCCGAAGGGAAACCGAGUCUUAACCGGGCGUUAAGUUGCAGGGUAUAGACCCGAAACCCGGUGAUCUAGCCAUGGGCAGGUUGAAGGUUGGGUAACACUAACUGGAGGACCGAACCGACUAAUGUUGAAAAAUUAGCGGAUGACCUGUGGCUGGGGGUGAAAGGCCAAUCAAACCGGGAGAUAGCUGGUUCUCCCCGAAAGCUAUUUAGGUAGCGCCUCGUGAACUCAUCUCCGGGGGUAGAGCACUGUUUCGGCUAGGGGGCCAUCCCGGCUUACCAAUCCGAUGCAAACUGCGAAUACCGGAGAAUGUUAUUACGGGAGACACACGGCGGGUGCUAACGUCCGUCGUGAAGAGGGAAACAACCCAGACCGCCAGCUAAGGUCCCAAAGUCAUGGUUAAGUGGGAAACGAUGUGGGAAGGCCCAGACAGCCAGGAUGUUGGCUUAGAAGCAGCCAUCAUUUAAAGAAAGCGUAAUAGCUCACUGGUCGAGUCGGCCUGCGCGGAAGAUGUAACGGGGCUAAACCAUGCACCGAAGCUGCGGCAGCGACACUGUGUGUUGUUGGGUAGGGGAGCGUUCUGUAAGCCGUUGAAGGUGUGUCGUGAGGCAUGCUGGAGGUAUCAGAAGUGCGAAUGCUGACAUAAGUAACGAUAAAGCGGGUGAAAAGCCCGCUCGCCGGAAGACCAAGGGUUCCUGUCCAACGUUAAUCGGGGCAGGGUGAGUCGACCCCUAAGGCGAGGCCGAAAGGCGUAGUCGAUGGGAAACGGGUUAAUAUUCCCGUACUUGGUGUUACUGCGAAGGGGGGACGGAGAAGGCUAUGUUGGCCGGGCGACGGUAGUCCCGGUUUAAGCGUGUAGGUGUGUGUUCCAGGUAAAUCCGGUUCACUUUAAC